rnacentral:rRNA from 1 species
AGUGAACGCUGGCGGUAGGCCUAACACAUGCAAGUCGAACGGCAGCACAGUAAGAGCUUGCUCUUACGGGUGGCGAGUGGCGGACGGGUGAGGAAUACAUCGGAAUCUACUUUUUCGUGGGGGAUAACGCAGGGAAACUUACGCUAAUACCGCAUACGACCUACGGGUGAAAGCAGGGGAUCUUCGGACCUUGCGCGAUUGAAUGAGCCGAUGUCGGAUUAGCUAGUUGGCGGGGUAAAGGCCCACCAAGGCGACGAUCCGUAGCUGGUCUGAGAGGAUGAUCAGCCACACUGGAACUGAGACACGGUCCAGACUCCUACGGGAGGCAGCAGUGGGGAAUAUUGGACAAUGGGCGCAAGCCUGAUCCAGCCAUACCGCGUGGGUGAAGGAGGCCUUCGGGUUGUAAAGCCCUUUUGUUGGGAAAGAAAAGCAGCAGGUUAAUACCCCGCUGUUCUGACGGUACCCAAAGAAUAAGCACCGGCUAACUUCGUG